AUGCUCACAUUGGUAGUGUAUAUACUAAAACUGGAGUGAUUCAGAUAAGAUUAACAUGCACCUUGCACAAGGACACAUACAAAUUCAUGAAACAUUCCAUAUUUUG
ensembl:snRNA U6 U6 spliceosomal RNA